rnacentral:rRNA from 1 species
GAUGAACGCUGGCGGCGUGCCUAAUACAUGCAAGUCGAGCGAACAGACGAGGAGCUUGCUCCUCUGACGUUAGCAGCGGACGGGUGAGUAACACGUGGAUAACCUACCUAUAAGACUGGGAUAACUUCGGGAAACCGGAGCUAAUACCGGAUAAUAUAUUGAACCGCAUGGUUCAAUAGUGAAAGACGGUUUUGCUGUCACUUAUAGAUGGAUCCGCGCCGCAUUAGCUAGUUGGUAAGGUAACGGCUUACCAAGGCAACGAUGCGUAGCCGACCUGAGAGGGUGAUCGGCCACACUGGAACUGAGACACGGUCCAGACUCCUACGGGAGGCAGCAGUAGGGAAUCUUCCGCAAUGGGCGAAAGCCUGACGGAGCAACGCCGCGUGAGAGAUGAAGGUCUUCGGAUCGUAAAACUCUGUUAUUAGGGAAGAACAAAUGUGUAAGUAACUAUGCACGUCUUGACGGUACCUAAUAAGAAAGCCACGGCUAACUACGUG